GUUUAGCCCCGAUAGAAGCAAUAUCCUUUUGUGUCCGCCGUGGCGGACAUAAAAGAUAUAGCGGAUAUCAGGACAGAAC
rnacentral:sRNA from 2 species